rnacentral:rRNA from 1 species
UACGUAGGGUGCAAGCGUUGUCCGGAAUUAUUGGGCGUAAAGAGCUCGUAGGUGGCGGGUCACGUCGGGUGUGAAAGCCCGGGGCUUAACCCCGGGUCUGCAUUCGAUACGGGCUUGCUAGGGUCCGGCAGGGGAGACUGGAAUUCCUGGUGUAGCGGUGAAAUGCGCAGAUAUCAGGAGGAACACCGGUGGCGAAGGCGGGUCUCUGGGCCGAUACUGACGCUGGAGGAGCGAAAGCGUGGGGAGCGAACAGG